rnacentral:rRNA from 1 species
CCUACGGGAGGCAGCAGUGGGGGAUAUUGCACAAUGGGGGAAACCCUGAUGCAGCGACGCCGCGUGGGCGAAGAAGUAUCUCGGUAUGUAAAGCCCUAUUAGCAGGGAAGAAGAAAUGACGGUACCUGAGUAAGAAGCACCGGCUAAAUACGUGCCAGCAGCCGCGGUAAUACGUAUGGUGCAAGCGUUAUCCGGAUUUACUGGGUGUAAAGGGAGCGCAGGCGGCACGGCAAGCCUGAUGUGAAAGCCCGCGGCCCAACCGCGGGACUGCAGUGGGAACUACCGGGCUGGAGUGCCGGAGAGGUAGGCGGAAUGCGUGGUGUAGCGGUGAAAUGCGUAGAUAUUAGGAAGAACACCAGUGGCGAAGGCAGCCUACUGGACGGUGACUGACGCUGAGGCUCGAAAGCGUGGGGAGCAAACAGGAUUAGAUACCCGGGUAGUC